rnacentral:rRNA from 1 species
CCUACGGGAGGCAGCAGUGGGGAAUAUUGCGCAAUGGACGAAAGUCUGACGCAGCGACGCCUCGUGAGGGACGAAGGUCUUCGGAUUGUAAACCUCUUUCAGCAGGGACGAAGCGAAAGUGACGGUACCUGCAGAAGAAGCACCGGCUAACUAUGUGCCAGCAGCCGCGGUAAUACAUAGGGUGCAAGCGUUGUCCGGAUUUAUUGGGCGUAAAGAGUUCGUAGGCGGUUUCUCGCGUCGGAUGUGAAAACUCAGGGCUCAACCCUGAGCCUGCAUUCGAUACGGGGAAACUUGAGGACGGCAGGGGAGACUGGAACUCCUGGUGUAGCGGUGGAAUGCGCAGAUAUCAGGAAGAACACCAAUGGCGAAGGCAGGUCUCUGGGCCGAUUCUGACGCUGAGGAACGAAAGCGUGGGGAGCAAACAGGAUUAGAUACCCUGGUAGUCCACGCCGUAAACGAUGGACGCUAGGUGUGGGGAACAUUCCACGUUCUCUGCGCCGCAGCUAACGCAUUAAGCGUCCCGCCUGGGGAGUACGACCGCAAGGUUAAAACUCAAAGGAAUUGACGG